AGAACGAACGCUGGCGGCGCGCCUAAUACAUGCAAGUCGAGCGAGAAGACGUAGCAAUACGUUUGUAAAGCGGCGAACGGGUGAGGAAUACAUGGGUAACCUACCCUCGAGUGGGGAAUAACUAGCCGAAAGGUUAGCUAAUACCGCGUACGCUCCUUGGACUUCGGUUCAGGGAGGAAAGCGAUACCGUGGGUAUCGCGCUCUUGGAUGGGCUCAUGUCCUAUCAGCUUGUUGGUGAGGUAACGGCUCACCAAGGCUUCGACGGGUAGCUGGUCUGAGAGGACGAUCAGCCACACUGGCACUGCGACACGGGCCAGACUCCUACGGGAGCAGCAGUGAGGAAUCUGCGCAAUGGGCGAAAGCCUGACGCAGCGACGCCGCGUGGGGAUGAAGGUCUUCGGAUUGUAAACCCCGUUUCGGUGGAAGACGGCCUAGACAACGUAGGCGGACGUACCACCAGAAGCAGCCGACGGCUAACGUUCGUGCCAGCCAGCCG
rnacentral:rRNA from 1 species